UAAAUGCGCCAGUAAAACGUAACACCAUUAGGCGCGAGAAUUUGCCGCCUUUGAUUUCAUUUUUGGGGCGCUUUUCUACUUUUACCGGCGCAUAUAUGCGCCGGCAAAAGGCUGAAAAAAGUUGGAGGGAAAAUUCCCGCGUGGGUUUUAUUUGGUAGGUGGGGACACUUUUACUGGCGCAAUUAUGCGCCGGCAAAAGUGUUAGUAAAACGCGCGUUUCACUCCUAGGUCAGAGUAAAUUUAUUAAAAAACUUUUACCGGCGCAAUUGGAUGCGCCGGUAAAAGUAGUAAUAUGUAUCAGGGGGCACGAAGCCCCCUUUCUUCCCCACUUUCAUUUGCAGAGCCUCCAGCUGCCCCCUCUCUCUCGUUCUCUCUAGUUCUCUCUCGUUCUCUCUCUCCUUUCCCUCUCAAUCUCUAUCAAACUCUCUCAAUCUCUCUUAAUUUUUUCUCAAAAUCUCUCUUUCCCACUCAAUCUCUCUUUUUUCAUCUAUUUUUCCCCAAAAAAAAAAGUCCGACCACCACUCCGUCCUCACCACCGCCGGCUGCACCACCGCACCGCCGCCGUCCACACCACCGCACCCCCCAAACGCCGGCUGCAAGGCGAGAGCAGCGAAAAAUAAAGAAAGUCGGGGUAAGAUGAAAUUUCUAGGAGGCUGGGGCUCCAAGCCUAUUGUUUCACAUGUUGUCGAAGGGGCUAACCCCGACACAGGAGAACUGCCAACUGCGGUGGAAACUUUUCAAAAGUUUCACCAUAAAGGCAACGAUUGGCGCAACGAGUUUGCGCAACAAGCUUACGUAAGUUUACGUUUUAAUUCAAUUUUUAUUUAUUUCUUUCAAUUUAUUUUGUGUUAAAAUUAACCAUUUAACUUAUUUGUUUAAUUGUUUUAGGAGCAAAUGGUUGAAAUAGCGGCAACUCAACCAGCGCCCACUGAAGAUGAGCCCGAAGAGCCUGCUGUCGAUCCUACACAGUACCCCCGAGACUUACCUGUUAUGACGCAAGUACUCGGGGAACGAUCUCGGCAUCUUAGAGGCUUUGGCCAUCUCCCCAGACUGAAGGGAGUUGGGGCCAAAAGAGCACCUGCCACGCAUCCUUCAGCCCAACCGACUGUUACAAUGGAACAGUACGAGGCUUUACAGAAAAAAGUGGAGGAAGCGGAGCAGACAACUCAACAUACGAGGCAGCAGUAUGAGACACAACAACUCUACCUCAGACGAUUCCAAGAUC